CAGUAGCCGCGGUAAUACGUAGGGUGCAAGCGUUGUCCGGAAUUACUGGGCGUAAAGAGCUCGUAGGCGGUUUGUCGCGUCUGCUGUGAAAUCUGGGGGCUCAACCCCCAGCCUGCAGUGGGUACGGGCAGACUAGAGUGCGGUAGGGGAGAUUGGAAUUCCUGGUGUAGCGGUGGAAUGCGCAGAUAUCAGGAGGACCACCGAUGGCGAAGGCAGAUCUCUGGGCCGUAACUGACGCUGAGGAGCGAAAGCGUGGGGAGCGAACAGGAUUAGAUACCCCUGUAGUCCCUGUCUCUUAUAC
rnacentral:rRNA from 1 species